AGAGUUUGAUCCUGGCUCAGAUUGAACGCUGGCGGCAUGCUUUACACAUGCAAGUCGAACGGCAGCGCGGGGCAACCUGGCGGCGAGUGGCAAACGGGUGAGUAAUAUAUCGGAACGUACCCAGAAGUGGGGGAUAACGUAGCGAAAGUUACGCUAAUACCGCAUACGAUCUACGGAUGAAAGUGGGGGACCUUCGGGCCUCAUGCUUGUGGAGCAGCCGAUAUCUGAUUAGCUAGUUGGUAGGGUAAAGGCCUACCAAGGCAACGAUCAGUAGCUGGUCUGAGAGGACGACCAGCCACACUGGGACUGAGACACGGCCCAGACUCCUACGGGAGGCAGCAGUGGGGAAUUUUGGACAAUGGGCGCGAGCCUGAUCCAGCAAUGCCGCGUGAGUGAAGAAGGCCUUCGGGUUGUAAAGCUCUUUUGUCAGGGAAGAAACGGUUCGAGCUAAUAUCUGGGCUAAUGACG
rnacentral:rRNA from 1 species